UGAUGGCUGUUUCUCUUGUGGCUGGAGCCUUUGGUCGUGGGAUUUUAGUCUGUCAUAUGUCUAAGCUGGCUUGUCUUCUCUCAGGACACCACAGGGAUGGCUCGGCUGUUAGUGUGUUUUGACUUGUGCAGAAUCACACGAUU